AAGCAGUUAAACUUGAGAGUUUUAAUAGUAGUUUCAAUGANGCAGUUGAAACAAGAAAUCAGUAUAUUACCUGGUAGGACCUUAGCUGUGAGCAUGUACUUGCACUAAGUCAAAUUUUCCACCAUUCUGGACAUGUUUGUGAAUGACCAUGAAAACCCUGUAUUGAUUUUGAGAUUAUAAAUAUGUUUUAGCAAGUAGGCAAGUUUGUAAAUAAAGAAUUUGGGAAUAAUGAGGAAUGAAUGUGUCUUCUUAAUAAAUUUUAGUCUUGAGCUG
rnacentral:lncRNA from 1 species